GACGAACGCUGGCGGCGUGCUUUACACAUGCAAGUCGAACGGUAAGGCCCUUCGGGGUACACGAGUGGCGAACGGGUGAGUAACACGUGGGUGAUCUGCCCUGCACUUCGGGAUAAGCCUGGGAAACUGGGUCUAAUACCGGAUAGGACUCCUGCCUGCAUGGGUGGGGGUGGAAAGCUUUUGCGGUGUGGGAUGGGCCCGCGGCCUAUCAGCUUGUUGGUGGGGUGAUGGCCUCCCAAGGCGACGACGGGUAGCCGGCCUGAGAGGGUGACCGGCCACACUGGGACUGAGAUACGGCCCAGACUCCUACGGGAGGCAGCAGUGGGGAAUAUUGCACAAUGGGCGCAAGCCUGAUGCAGCGACGCCGCGUGAGGGAUGACGGCCUUCGGGUUGUAAACCUCUUUCAGCACAGACGAGGCGCAAGUGACGGUAUGUGCAGAAGAAGGACCGGCCAACUACGUGCCAGCAGCCGCCGUAA
rnacentral:rRNA from 1 species